GCAAAAAUGGGAGAGAGCUCAGGAGGCUGAGGUGGGAGGAUCGCUUGAGCCAGGAGUUCUCGGCUGUAGUGCGCUAUGCUGAUUGGGUGUCCGCACUAAGUUCGGCAUCACUAUGGUAACCUCCGGGGAGUCGGGGACCACCAGGUUGCCUAAGAAGGGGUGAACUGGCCCAGGUCGGAAAUGGAGCAGGUCAGAACUCCUGUGCUGAUCAGUAGUGGGACUGCACCUGUGAAUAGCCACUGCACUCCAGCCUGGGCAACAUAGCAAGACCCAGUCUCA
rnacentral:SRP_RNA from 1 species